CACAAUUAUAGCAAACUGAUUUCCCCUUUAAACAGACUCCCGAAUGAGUCUUUCUGCAUGUCUUGCAUGCCUCCAUCUUACGCAUAGGAUUUCCUUGUUUCACCACAGUAUUCCUAGGGUUAAAGCUCUUUCUCUUUGGCAUAGUACCACUUCCGCUAGCAAUCUCUGCCUUAUUUCCUCCCUCAGUCUUAUUCGUAUUCUUCAUUUCCUUGUGGUACUGAGACAACGCCUCACCACCACCUUCAGCUAUUAUUGCCUUUUCCAGAAUGGUCCCGUAGGAAGCACUCACCGAAAUCCAAC
rnacentral:lncRNA from 1 species